rnacentral:rRNA from 1 species
GAUGAACGCUAGCUACAGGCUUAACACAUGCAAGUCGCAGGGUAACAUGAGGACAGCUUGCUUUCCUUGAUGACGACUGGCGCACGGGUGAGUAACGCGUAUCCAACCUUCCCAUAACUACGGGAUAACCCGUUGAAAGACGGCCUAAUACCGUAUGAUAUCGUUUGCUGACAUCAAAUAACGAUUAAAGGUUUAGCGGUUAUGGAUGGGGAUGCGUCUGAUUAGCUUGUUGGCGGGGUAACGGCCCACCAAGGCGACGAUCAGUAGGGGUUCUGAGAGGAAGGUCCCCCACAUUGGAACUGAGACACGGUCCAAACUCCUACGGGAGGCAGCAGUGAGGAAUAUUGGUCAAUGGGCGAGAGCCUGAACCAGCCAAGUAGCGUGCAGGACGACGGCCCUAUGGGUUGUAAACUGCUUUUAUGUGGGGAUAAAGUGCGUGACGUGUCAUGCAUUGCAGGUACCACAUGAAUAAGGACCGGCUAAUUCCGU